rnacentral:rRNA from 1 species
CAUUAGUAGUUGGCUAUUUCGUUCUCGACGCCCAGGGUGCGCCGCCAGAGGCCAAGCAACAGCGGUCCUGGGCUGUCGCUCUCCGCUACGCCUUUACCUUACCUUACCCUCCAACCGUUUUCGUUCUUCUUCUGUAGGUGGAUGAACGGAGGACUAGUUCCUUGGCUACCACCUACCUACCUCGUACGGUGAACUCGCGGCGACGGGAUGCAGUCCCCCGUGUCGACACGCACGAAUGGGUGGUUAGAAGAACACACGAAUGGUAUACGUCAGCGCACCGCUCCCCUCCCCGUUGUUUGUCGUCUCAACACGGCCGCUGAUUAGGCCCUCGUUUCCGCUUCCGGUUGUGUUGUUUGAAGGACUGACCGAGACAAGUUCUAAGGAGGCAACUAACGUUUCCCAGGCACGACCAACCUCCUCGAACGAGGCCAAGUAGUAGUGGUUCGGACGUCCCAUCCACAAACACCUUAACGGAGGAAACGUUAACGUUGUCGUCGCCGUCGCCUCAUUCGUUCCUUCCCGAUCCCUCUCGUCGCUCCUUUCCUACCCGUACGGCGCCCCCGACAGCCGCAUGUACCACCUGUACCACACCCGCCACGAGCGGCCCACCCACAGCCGCACGGACGACCAGCGGUUGCUCUAGCGGGCGCCGUACGCCCGGCCCCUCUAACCGGGGAAGCAGCAGCCGACUUAGAGUGAAGCCCUUGCCCUUUAGGAGGGAAGACUGAGGAAGGAAGUGCAUCAAAAAACCGCCUAGGUAGGUACCUAUGUGUAACGUAAUAUGACAUGUCUCAGGGAUUUAGAGGUAAUCACAAGUCGACUUACCGAACCGGUAACUAUCUUCACUGUCUCUAAGAUCUACUACAAAAGAAAGAGGAAAGAAAGGUGUUAAGAAGACAAGACACAUCAUUACAUUUAUUAAAUAAAAGGAAAACGUAAUAUGAUCAAGAGAUUUCUAUACACGUUGACGUAUUCUUACCCAGUAUUUGUAUACACG